UCCGGCUUAACGCCGGCGGUUUCCCUAGAGUUCCCAGCUUUACCUGUUGGCAACAAGGGAUGAGGGUUGCGCUCGUUGCGGGACUUAACCCAACAUCUCACGACACGAGCUGACGACAGCCAUGCAGCACCUGUGUGUUAGCCAGCCGAACUGAAGGAAGCCAUCUCUGGCGACCAUACUAACCAUGUCAAGGCCUGGUAAGGUUCUUCGCGUUGCCUCGAAUUAAACCACAUGCUCCACCGCUUGUGCGGGUCCCCGUCAAUUCCUUUGAGUUUUAAUCUUGCGACCGUACUCCCCAGGCGGAGUGCUUAACGCGUUAACUGCGACACCGAGCCCUAAAGGACCCGACAUCUAGCACUCAUCGUUUACAGCGUGGACUAC
rnacentral:misc_RNA from 1 species